rnacentral:pre_miRNA from 1 species
UGAAGCUCAGGAGGGAUAGCGCCUAGGAAAACACAUAGAUUGGAGCUAGCCAUGAGGAGAAAGAGAGAGAGAGGCAGCAGAGCGAGAUGCAUGUGAAUCUCUGAAUCUGCUCAUCUCUUUCUCUUUCUCAAGGUUGGUUCUGUCUAUCAAUCUGAAGCGCUAUCUAUCCUGAGCUCCAC